rnacentral:lncRNA from 1 species
GAUUAUAGUCAUGAAUAUAUUGUUUUCUUCCAGAAUAAAAUAAUUUAAAUGGAAAAUAAAAUUGGAUAGAUUUAAGACACAAUAUUUAGCAUGUAUUUUUUUUAGUCAACUAUAUUUAGUAUGUUGACUAAUUUUUUAUUUUUUUUUGGGUGCAAAGUAUUUAGUAUUUUGACUAAAAAACAAAUAAUAGGUUUGUUCUCUACCUUGUUGUCUAAACACUUUUCUUUAAUAUGGAAUUUAUAUAAAAAAAACCAUUAUUUUCCAUCUUCACAUGUACAUGUGUUUCA